GAACCCUUUCCCUGAGGACCCAGACGUAUUGGUCUGGGUGCCAUAAUGAAAUAUCGCAGUGUGGGGGGCAUAAAUGACAGACAUGUAUUUUCUCACAGCUCUGGAGUCUGGAAUUCCAAGGUCAAGGUGCCGGCAGGGCUGAUUUCUGGUGAGAACGCUUCCUGGCUUGCAGAUGUCUUGCUGUGUCCUCACGGGGCUUUUCCUCUGUGCUCAGGCAGGCGAGGGGCUGCGGGAGCCUCUCGGCCGUCCCCUCCUCCCUGGUAAGGACUUCAGUCCUAUCAAGUCAGGACCCCACUCUUACGACCCCAUUUAACCCUAAUUACUUCUCUGAAGGCCCCCUCUCUCAACACAGCAACACAAGCGGCUUAGGGCCUAACAAAGGAAUAUUGGUGGGACAUGAUUUAGCCCACACACCGAAUGCCCAUGCCUGUCCUCUCCCCUCCAGGUCUCGCAUCCUAAGGUGGGUAGGACCACAGAAGAGACUUGGUGAUUCAGAGCAUGCGCUCUGUGCCUCCUUCAGGACCUCAGGGGAGAGAGCUGUCCUCUGACUGGGGGCGUGGGAGUGGAGGCUAAGGGGGCGGGUGUUCAGUUUGGGAGGCAUCCGCAUUGGGCCAUGAUGAGUGAGAAGUCACGUGAUCACAGGUGAAUGCCCAUACUAACUACCCAAAGCAAUCUCUAGAUUCGGUGCGGUCCCUAUCAAAAUCCCACAGCGCUUUUCACAGAAAUACAACAAACAGUUCUAAAAUCUGCAUGCCGUCACCACGACACAGAGCAGCCCUAGCAAUCUGGGGAAGGAACAACGCCUUGGCAUCACCUACCUGACUUUUCAGGGGCUGCAAAGAUAAGCGAGACACGAAGGAGGGGGAGACACAUGGGCACACAGCGUCAGAAAAGUUCUUUGCCAGCGUGAGGACUUACUGGUAUUAGAUGUUAUUCUGAGAAAGUGGAGGAGGUCAGCUUCGGGCAGGGGCCACCGCAGCGGGUGUUUCCAGGCUGGGAAGAGGAGGACGGGGGGAGCCCCGUGGGGAGAAACGUGAGGCAGAAGGCAUCAUGGGGUUUCAGGAGCCGGCUGUCAAGCCUAAAUUCCUGGAAACGGACUUUGGAACCGCCCAGAACACGGAAGAAAAACGAUCUUGGGGGAUACAUAUGGGUCAGUAGAGACCCAAGUAGAGAGGGUGAACCGGGGCCCUGACCUCACUCGUUGCCGGCCUCGGACCUCGGCCACUGCUAGGAAGGCUCCUUUUCAAAGCAACUGCUUGUUUUCCUCCCAAUAAAUGUCGUAUGUUCUUCAACAAA